GGCGCCCCCUUCCCCGCCAUGGCGGGCUGGGCCCGAGCGCCUGGAGGGGGAGGGGUUGGCUCCGCGGGAAGCCGAGUCUGCAGAUUAUCACCGACCGCAGCCGGCUUCCCUGCCCGGGGCCGGACGGCGGCUUCCUGAGGCCUGCAGUCGUCUGAGCGAUUCUCUCACCCCGAAGAUGGCUGCGCAGUCGGCGCCGAAGGUUGUGCUAAAGAGCACCACCAAGAUGUCUCUGAACGAGCGCUUUACUAAUAUGCUGAAGAACAAACAGCCGAUGCCGGUGAAUAUUCGGGCAACCAUGCAGCAGCAGCAGCAGCUAGCCAGUGCCAGAAACAGAAGACUGGCCCAGCAGAUGGAGAAUAGACCUUCUGUCCAAGCUGCCUUGAAACUUAAACAGAAGAGCUUAAAGCAGCGUCUGGGUAAAAGUAAUAUUCAAGCACGAUUAGGCCGGCCAGCAGGACCCCUCGCUCGCGGUGCCAUGGGAGGAAGAGGGCUGUCUAUGGGUCAGAGAGGCUUGCCGCGGGGAGCUAUGCGUGGCGGACGUGGAGCAAGAGGAUUGCUGAGAGGAGGCAUCCCCCUCAGAGGUGGGAGUUUACUUCGGGGAGGACGUGGUGUUUCCCCUAGAAUGGGCCUGAGAAGAGGUGGCGUCAGAGGUCGUGGUGGACCUGGGAGAGGAGGCCUGGGCAGAGGAGCUAUGGGUCGUGGAGGAAUUGGUGGCAGAGGUCGUGGCCUGGCAGGCCGGGGACGAGGGGGCUUUGGUGGCCGGGGCAGAGGUCGAGGCCGAGGAAGAGGAUCCACGCGCCCUGCGCUAACCAAGGAACAACUGGACAACCAAUUAGAUGCUUACAUGUCUAAAACAAAAGGACACCUCGAUGCCGAGCUGGAUGCAUACAUGGCUCAGACAGAUCCAGAGACCAACGACUGAAGGGCCGUGUGAGAGACUCGUUGAAGUUGAUGUGUAUGUCAAUACCCAUAAGCUAAAAACGGAAACCCUGAUUCCUGCUGGAAGGAGCUGCAGGAGGGGGGGCAGCCCUGUCCUACCGAGAGAUCCAAUUUUAUUUGAAUUUCUUUUCUAUCAUGCCUGAAGGGACAGCACUACUGGUUUCUACAUACCGGAACCUAGAAGAAGACCUAGUUCGUGCAUUAAGGAUGUUGAAGCAGGUCCACGCGCGGCACCUAUGAAAGGAAAUCAUGGUAGAACCGUCUCGGAAACACUGGGUCCACAACUGGUUGGAGUGACAAGCGUAACCAAAACCAAGCUUUCGGUCCAGGUUGACUCCAGUGCCUCCUGGGCACUUUUGAGAAUGCGGCUGGUUUUAGAUGUUGAGAACGGGUUUGUUCUCCCCCCUCCUCCCCCCGAAGUUUUAAUUUACCACCAUUCUGUGAACUGUUCCGGUUUCAAUGGAAUCUUGUAUUUCUGGUUCGUUGUAACAAUGGAGAAACAAUGACAAAAA